ensembl:miRNA
AGGUGCACGCUCUAGCGGGGAUUCCAAUAUUGGGCCAAUUCCCCCAAUAUUGGAAUCCCCGCUAGAGCGUGCACUU